GCGAAAUAGGAAGCCAAUUCUAGAUUUAACUUUGGAUUGGAGAUGAUUGAUGUGAGUCUGGAAGGAGAGUUUACAGUCUAACCAGACACCUAGGUAUUUGUAGUUGUCCACAAAUUCUAAGUCAGAACCGUCCAGAGAAGUGAUGCUGGACAGGCGGGCAGGUGCAGGCAGCGAUCGGUUGAAGAGCAUGCAUUUAGUUUUACUUGUAUUUAGGAGCAGUUGGAGACCAUGGAAGGAGAGUUGUAUGGCAUUGAAGCUCGUCUGGAGGGUUGUUAACACAGUGUCCAAAGAAGGGCCAGAAGUAUACAGAAUGGUGUCGUCUGCGUAGAGGUAUAUCAGAGAUUCACCAGCAGCAAGAGCAACAUCAUUUAUGUAUACAGAGAAAAGAGUUGGCCCAAGAAUUGAACCCUGUGGUACCCCCAUAGAGACUGCCAGAGGUCCGGACAGCAGGCCCUCCGAUUUGACACAAUGAACUCUAUCAGAGAAGUAGUUGGUGAACCAGGCGACGCAAUCGUUUGAGAAACGAAGGCUACUGAGUCUGCCGAUGAGGAUGUGGUGAUUAACAGAGUCAAAAGCUUUGGCCAGGUCAAUGAAUACGGCAGCACAGUAUUGUUUCUUAUCGAUGGCGGUUACGAUGUCGUUUAGGACCUUGAGCAUGGCUGAGGUGCACCCAUGACCAGCUCUGAAACCAGAUUGCAUAGCGGAGAGGGUGCGGUGGGAUUCGAAAUGGUCGGUAAUCUGUUUGUUGACUUGGCUUUCGAAGACCUUAGAAAGGCAGGGUAGGAUGGAUAUAGGUCUGUAGCAAUUUGGGUCAAGAGUGUCACACCUCCUUUGAAGAGGGGGAUGACAGCAGCUGCUUUCCAAUCUAUGGGAAUCUCAGACGACACGAAAGAGAGGUUGAACAGGCUAGUAAUAGGGGUUGCAAUAAUUUCGGCAGAUAAUUUUAGAAAGAAAGGGUCCAGAUUGUCAAGCCCAGCUGAUUUGUAGGGGUCCAGAUUUUGCAGCUCUUUCAGAACAUCAGCUGAAUGGAUUUGGGAUCCUCAGUGCAGUGGGCAGUUGGGAGGAGGUGUUCUUAUUCUCCAUGGACUUUACAGUGUCCCAGAACUUUUUAGAGUUUGAAAAAGCUAGCCUUGGCAUUUCUAACUGCCUGUGUGUAUUGGUUUCUAACUUCUCUGAAAAGUUGCAUAUCGCGGGGGCAAUUCGAUGCUAAUGCAGAACGCCACAGGAUAUUUUUGUGUUGGUUAAGGGCAGUCAGGUUUGGGGAGAACCAAGGGCUAUAUCUGUUCCUGGUUCUAAAUUUCUUGAAAGGACAUGCUUAUUUAAGAUGGUGAGGAAGGCAUUUAAAAAAAAUAACCAGGCAUCCUCUACUGAUGGGAUGAGGUCAAUAUCCUUCCAGGAUACCAGGGCCAGGUCGAUUAGAAAGGCUUGCUCGUUGAAAUGUUUCAGGGAGCGUUUGACAGUGAUGAGUGUAGGUCGUUUGACCGCUGAACCAUUACGGGUGCAGGCAAUGAGGCAGUGAUCACUGAGAUCUUGGUUGAAAACAGCAGAGGUGUAUUUAGAGGGCACGUUGGUUAGGAUGAUAUCUAUGAGGGUGCCAGUGUUUGCGGCUUUGGGGUUGUACCUGGUGGGUUCAUUAAUAAUUUGUGUGAGAUUAAGGGCAUCAAGCUUGGAUUGUAGGAUGGCUGGGGUGUUAAGCAUGUCCCAGUUUAGGUCACCUAGUAGCACGAGCUCUGAAGAUAGAUGGGGGCAAUCAGUUCACAUAUGGUGUCCAGAGCACAGCUAGGGGCCGAGGGGGGUCUAUAGCAGGCGGCGACGGUGAGAGACUUGUUUUUGGAGAGGUGGAUUUUUAAAAGUAGAAGUUCAAAUUGUUUGGGUACAGACCUGAAUAGCAGGACAGAGCUCUGCAGGCUAUCUCUGCUGUAGAUUGCAACACCGCCCCCUUUGGUCAUUCUAUCUUGUCUGUAAACGUUGUAGUUAGGGAUGAAGAUUUCAGAGUUUUUGGUGGACUUCCUAAGCCAAGAUUCAGACACAGCUAGGACAUCCGGGUUGGCAGAGUGUGCUAAAGCAGUGAAUAAAACAAACUUAGGGAGGAGGCUUCUAAUGUUAACAUGCAUGAAACCAAGGCUAUUACGGUUACAUAAGUCAUCAGAAGAGAGCGCCUGGGGAGUAGGAGUGGAGCCAGGCACUGCAGGGCCUGGAUUCACCUCUACAUCCCCAGAGGAGCAGAGAAGAAUGAGUAUGAGGGUACUGCUAAAAGCUAUAAGAAUUGGUCGUCUGUGACCUCCAGAAUAGAGAGAAAAAGGAGCAGGUUUCUGGGGGCGAUAAAAUAGCUUCAAGGUAUAAUGUACAGACAAAGGUAUGGUGGGAUGUGAAUACAGAGGAGGUAAACCUAGGCAUUUAGUGAUGAUGAGAGAGAUAUUGUCUCUAGAAACAUCAUUGAAACCAGAAGAUGUCAUAGCAUGUGUGGGUGGAGGAACUGAGAGGUUGGAUAAGGUAUAAUGAGCAGGGCUAGAGGCUCUACAGUGAAAUAAGCCAAUAAACACUAACCAGAACAGCAAUGGACAUUGCAUAUUGACAUUGAGGAGAGGCAUGCUUAGCCGAGUGAUCAAAGGGUCCAGUGAGAUUCAGACAAGCUAGCCGGGCCAUAGGUAGCAAGCUGGUGGAAGAUGGAGGGAGGUCUGUUUUUAGCCACCUCGUGCGUUUCCGUCUGUGGGUUAGUGGGGUUUCGUGUGGAAGGGGGGAUCAGUCCAAGUUGGCAAAAUAGUUAGUUAUAGUGGCCCAAGAAAAGUGUCCAAUAGACCUAUUCAGAUCGCAGCCGAUAAGACAGCUAACGAUUAACGAUUAGUGGGCCGCAGAUGGGCGAUCAGGUUACGUCGCGACGGAGGGGCCAGUUGGAUAACUCCCUCGGACAGAUAACGUCGGUGGUCCAGUCGUGAAGGCCCGAUGGGGCUCCGCAUCGGCAGUAAAGCAGGUCAGGAUAGGUGAUUGUAGCCCAGGAGACACUUCAGCUGGCUAGCUCAGGAAAAGCCCACGAGUGGCUGACGGAACUCUUCAGCUGGCUAUCUCCGGAAUAAUGUGUGUUAAUUCCGGGACCGAUGUUGCCAAUAGUCACUCAGGUAGCAGCUAGUUAGCUGCAAGAUCCAGGUGUAAAUGUCCAGAGCCUGCGGUAGAAAUCGGGGAAAGGAGAGAGAAUAGGUCCGGUGUGCUCUGGUCUGAGUCGCGCUGUACAAAAACUGGCGAUAGCUUUUCGAGCUAAUGGAUAGCUGAGGACAGCUAACCGUGGCUAGCUGAACUCCAACGUUAGCCAGUGAAAAUGGCUAACCUCUGGCUAGCUUCUGUUGUGGAUUUCGGAUUUGAGACUGUAUCUCCACCCUCAGCCUCUCUGAUGGACUGUCUCCACCUUCCACCACUGUGCGCCAAAUACUCAAAAUGUGAAUCUGAAGGCUGGCACCCUGAGCCUGAGCUGGUGUGGCUGGACAGUAAAGGAGUCAAUCUCAAAUGUGAAAACUGUUCAAGAUAGUGUAGAGUUUUACUAGGCACUGAGGAAAAUAAGUUAGAAAUGCUUGUUGAGUUUAGUUGAACUUUUCUUCCCCAUCAAAACCAAGCAUGGGCCUGUUUAACUGAAAACAAACACUGUAUAGCCUCAAAACAUGGUUAAAACUAUAAUUUGUAUAUAAUAGAUGGUCAGUCCUUGCAGCCAUAGCUCCUAUAUGUGUAUGGUCAGUGCCAUCUGGGAUCCUUGGGACAUCCCUAUCCUAAACCAUAACCAAAUCCCUUACCUAACCUUAACCAUUUUAAAAUGUCAACUUCAAUGGGGUAGGGACAUCCAAAGGAAUCUGAAUAGCACGGACCAUAUGUUUAUCAUCUGAGAGCUGUAUCCAUGAAUAUUGGGCAGGGGACACAAAAUAAGAGAGACUGGUGUGAGAGAGACAGUGGCCUGACCAUAUAAUUAGAAUACUAUUAUGACAUAGCAUAACAGAAAAAAGUUUCAGAGGGAAAUUGAUCCAAGGCCUCUGAGGCCCGUAGGCCACCAGUUGCCCGUCCCUGACCUAGAGUCCUGAAAUUCUGUGCAAAGACCCACAAGGUCUGCCAUGAUGGAUUUUCUGCCAUUUUGAAAAACACUUAAAUGACAUCUCCUCCAGAACCACAGGGCCGAUCUGGAUUAAACUUGCUAAAUGGCCUUAACUUUUUUUUUUAAGUUUCACUAUUUAGAUUUUUACAAAAUUCACAUUCCUGCCCUUCCUCCUCUGAGGAGCCUCCACUGUACCGGCCAAAAUAAUGAGUAAAUGAGGGAUACAAAGUAUAUUGAAAAAAGGUACUUCUACAUAGGUGUGGUUCAAGUUAAUUAAGCAAUUAACAACAUCCCAUCGUGCUUUGGGUCAUGUAUAAAAAUUCCGGGAAGGCCAUUAUUUGGGGGGGGGGGUCACCACAGUCGAUCUACAAACACAUGGCCUAUUAGCUAUACAAUUAGCCGCUACACAUUAACUCAGCACCGGGAUUAAAAACUAGAAUUUAAUAUGUACAAAGGGAUCCGUUAGCAGAAAAGUAUUUUAUUAUCAAAAGUUAACAAAUAUGUAACUUCGUAGCAUCUGCUUGGAAGAAGUACUUCUCGCCCUGAUUGUAUGGAAACCAGUAGCAAUUGUGUGCAAUGUCAAUCUGGACACCACUGAAGUACAUGAAAUCCAUUCCCAACAUUACAGCAAGGGUCUUGGAAGGCAGAAUAACAGAAUGAAUCAUAUAGGAAUGGUUGCACAGGCAGAACUCCAACCGAGUGGUCGUUUAGCCUCAUUGUCAGCCAUAUACAAUGGACCUUCUGUCCGCGGCUUCAUGUUGUAUUGUGGACAUUUCACCUCCUGCCAUUGCUUCUCACUGAGAAGCAUGUAGGAUGACCCGGUGUCCAGGAUGGCUCUUCCUGUCCAAGAGCCUAUGUGCAGGGGUAACACCAGCUGGUGCGGUAUUGGCUGAAAGGAAGGGGAUGUCAAUGGGCAAGUGUAGGCAGUGCCUCUUGGGGUUUCAGCUCUAGUCGGAGCACCCAGACUUGAAAAAUUGAGGAGGGGAGACCCACAGUAUAGAGACCUUAGUGUGUUUCAAAAAUCAUCAAAGACUAAUUAUUUUAACCUAAAGCAUUUAAUAAAGACAUUUAUAGUACAAUAUUAUGGGGAAUGGGAAUGAGAGGGCUACUUACACUGUUGGAAAGGGAUCACAGCAGUGACUGAAUGAGGCAUGAGUUGGUGUUCAGAGGCUUGACCAGGACAGGAUUUGACUGGGAAGACAAAAAACAAUAAACACACACUACACAGUUAGACAAAAUAAUUAAGAAUGAGUUAGUCCAAGCAAGGAGUAAAAUCAUUGAUGCCUAAUAAUGUGAUUGUGUUCGUGUAGGUGAUUGACUCUACAUACAGUAAUGAGAGAAAAUUGAUAGGGGUACUCAGUGCUUGGAGGGGAUACAUUCAAUGUGCCAGUAGAUGAGCGGGCACAUGAUACGUGGCUUCAGUUCAUGUGAGGAGAGAGUUGACAAUGGUAGUAAAUCAGAGAACAGGAGGAGACUGACAUUCCAUUACAGCUGCGCCAUCGUAGGUUUGGACAACAAGCUUCUCCAUAAAGUUUAACUUGGACAUCUUAAAAUGAUUAAAGUCAAACACAGACUGCGCAUCUCGCCCACUUGACACAUCAAAGUAGCCCAAGAAACAUUCCUGAAUGAAGCCAUGUUCAUCCACAUACCUGACAACUGCAAGCAGACUGGUGGCAGACUGGUGGGGAAAUUUUUACCCCCUGGGGCCUGUAGUUUUUCCUUAUACGUUAACCUAACUAGGAAAACUCUGGACCCUAUAAGGUAUGACAGUGGUUAAUCAGUUGUAAAAAGGUUUCUGGGCUAUGUGAGUUAAAAAAAAACGACUGAAAAAACUCCUGGCCCUGGGGGGGGGGAUGAAAACCCUGUCAAACUGUAGCUACCUUAUAUUUGUUCAUAUAAAUUAUAUUUAGACUAGGAGGGGAGUUUCCUCUACCCAAACACAGACAACAACUGAUAGACAAAAGAACUCACAAGGCUGAGCUUGCUUUAUGCAUGUUUGCAUCAUGCAGGCCUAUGGAACUGUAGGCCUUCUAAAACAUUUACUCACAUCUGUCAUCACUAUUAUGUUGAUUGAUUAAUUCCAGUUAAUCAUUUGAUUGAAAACGUAUAGGCGGACUAGGACAGGGCGCAUGGGCUGUAUGCAGCUGCUCUUAUUAUUGGCCUACAGUUGAUCAGACUGAAAAAUAAUCUUGUUUUCAUCCCAUACAGCAUGUCAGAUUUCUAAUGUUUAGGUGUAGCCUAGGCUGCUGCAACGUUUAUGUAAUGAGUUUUUGCUUGUGUCUGUCUAGAGUGUUUAGGUGUUAUCAUCUUUGCUAAAUAAAUACCAGAGGAAAGUGCAAAGCCAGCACGCAAACAAAAUACGCUGCGUCAACCUCUCCUAAAAUCUAUCUUUUAAUGGAUGAUGCAAUGGAAGCUAUCGAAUCAUUGGAAUUGUUUGAUAUCCCAGAAAAGACAGUCAAAAGUUCGAUAUGUUCAGCAUGUAAAGCAUCAUAACAUUGCUCCUUGUAGUUGCCCUUGUUGGCGGAACUUUCCCCCUCGUCGUGUCCUCUAAAAGCAAAUUCUUGCAUGCCCAAAAAUGCAGUGGUGUUGAUCAGCUGCUUGAGAACAUCCCUGUUUCUUCUUACUUUCUCGUUGUUUCGCAGUUUGAAAACGCAGACUUUUAUCAUAGUCGAGGCAGCUUUUUCCCAGCUUGAAUCUGAUGUGGGCAUUUUUAUGCUCCCUGCUUUUGUUUUGCCAUUUAGCGGAACAAUCGAUAUUCGUCAGGUCACUGUACCCACCUUUUGAGGUGGGUACAGACUUUCCAAAAAGGCUCAGACUUUCCAAAAAGAAGGCAAGGCCAGCAAUACAGGUGGUUUGAUGAAAGGCUCCCUGUUAACCAGUUAUACUUUUGGUAUUUAAAAUGGUAUUGCUUUUAAUUUAAUAACCUUUUCCGUGUACCCCAGAGAAUGAAAAGAUUUCAACAAAAAGUCCACAACAUUUUCGGAAACUUUGGCAAUUCUACCAUUCUGGCAGAGAAAUUGCACACUCGCGCUGGUAGCUAGCUAGCUACUGAAGUUAGUGCAAUUUAUUUAAAUUUGCCUUGCUAACUGGACACGAAGUUCUAAAACAAAGAAAGCGAUUUAUAAUAUACCUCCUCCGUCUCCUAUAAUUUCAAAAAACUAAUUUGAAUUGAAUAAUAUCCCCCCCAAAAUGCUCAACUAUCUCUUCAUCUCAUCCAACAAUGUCACCAAGCUUCUCAAUACAUAGAACUCCCAUAAGGCUCUGUGGCACAAUCGCAAUACAACACACUAGGUUCAUUCUCUGAUCCUAAUUCUAUGAUUGGAUGGACAUGUCAGUUCGUACUGCAAAAGCUUUGAUUGGUUGUAGGACAUCCCCCGUAAGUGGUUAUACAGUGCCUUGCGAAAGUAUUCGGCCCCCUUGAACUUUUCGACCUUUUGCCACAUUUCAGGCUUCAAACAUAAAGAUAUAAAACUGUAAUUUUUUUGUGAAGAAUCAACAACAAGUGGGACACAAUUAUGAAGUGGAACGAAAUUUAUUGGAUAUUUCAAACUUUUUUAACAAAUAAAAAACUGAAAAAUCCACCUGUGUGUAAUAAACGGACCUCUGAGACUAUGACAGAGCAGGUGCAUUUAUACAGAGACUUGAUUACACACAGGUGGAUUCUAUUUAUCAUCAUUAGUCAUUUAGGUAAACAUUGGAUCAUUCAGAGAUCCUCACUGAACUUCUGGAGAGAGUUUGCUGCACUGAAAGUAAAGGGGCUGAAUAAUUUUGCACGCCCAAUUUUUCUGUUUUUUAUUUGUUAAAAAAGUUUGAAAUAUCCAAUACAUUUCGGUCCACUUCAUGAUUGUGUCCCACUUGUUGUUGAUUCUUCACAAAAAAUUACAGUUUUAUGUCUUUAUGUUUGAAGCCUGAAAUGUGGCAAAAGGUCGAAAAGUUCAAGGGGGCCGAAUACUUUCGCAAGGCACUUUAAUUACCAUGUCUGUCUAUGGAAGGGGGUGAGGCCUACGAUCCUCCUAGGUUUUGUAUUAAAGUCAAUGUAGCCAGAGGACAGAAGCUGGCUGUCCUCCGGCUACACCAUGGUGCUAGCCCAGACAGUGCUGUUGAAGUUACUGUAGACCUUCAUUGCAAAACAGUGUAUUUCAACUAGGGAUGCACGAUAUACAGUGGGGCAAAAAAGUAUUUAGUCAGCCACCAAUUGUGCAAGUUCUCCCACUUAAAAAGAUGAGAGAGGCCUAUAAUUUUCAUCAUAGGUACACUUCAACUAUGACAGACAAAAUGAGAAAAAAAAUCCUGAAAAUCACAUUGUAGGAUUUUUAAUGAAUUUAUUUGCAAAUUAUGGUGGAAAAUAAGUAUUUGGUCAAUAACAACAUUUUAUCUCAAUACUUUGUUAUUAUACCCUUUGUUGGCAAUGACACAGGUCAAACGUUUUCUGUAAGUCUUCACAAGGUUUUCACACACUGUUGCUGGUAUUUUGGCCCAUUCCUCCAUGCAGAUCUCCUCUAGAGCAGUGAUGUUUUGGGGCUGUCGCUGGGCAACACGGACUUUCAACUCCCUCCAAAGAUUUUCUAUGGGGUUGAGAUCUGGAGACUGGCUAGGCCACUCCAGGACCUUGAAAUGCUUCUUACGAAGCCACUCCUUCGUUGCCCGGGCGGUGUGUUUGGGAUCAUUGUCAUGCUGAAAGACCCAGCCACGUUUCAUCUUCAAUGCCCUUGCUGAUGGAAGGAGGUUUUCACUCAAAAUCUCACGAUACAUGGCCCCAUUCAUUCUUUCCUUUACACGGAUCAGUCGUCCUGGUCCCUUUGCAGAAAAACAGCCCCAAAGCAUGAUGUUUCCACCCCCAUGCUUCACAGUAGGUAUGGUGUUCUUUGGAUGCAACUCAGCAUUCUUUGUCCUCCAAACACGGCGAGUUGAGUUUUUACCAAAAAGUUAUAUUUUGGUUUCAUCUGACCAUAUGACAUUCUCCCAAUCCUCUUCUGGAUCAUCCAAAUGCUCUCUAGCAAACUUCAGACGGGCCUGGACAUGUACUGGCUUAAGCAGGGGGACACGUCUGGCACUGCAGGAUUUGAGUCCCUGGCGGCGUAGUGUGUUACUGAUGGUAGGCUUUGUUACUUUGGUCCCAGCUCUCUGCAGGUCAUUCACUAGGUCCCCCUGUGUGGUUCUGGGAUUUUUGCUCACCGUUCUUGUGAUCAUUUUGACCCCACGGGGUGAGAUCUUGCGUGGAGCCCCAGAUCGAGGGAGAUUAUCAGUGGUCUUGUAUGUCUUCCAUUUCCUAAUAAUUGCUCCCACAGUUGAUUUCUUCAAACCAAGCUGCUUACUUAUUGCAGAUUCAGUCUUCCCAGCCUGGUGCAGGUCUAAAUUUUGUUUCUGGUGUCCUUUGACAGCUCUUUGGUCUUGGCCAUAGUGGAGUUUGGAGUGUGACUGUUUGAGGUUGUGGACAGAUGUCUUUUAUACUGAUAACAAGUUCAAACAGGUGCCAUUAAUACAGGUAACGAGUGGAGGACAGAGGAGCCUCUUAAAGAAGAAGUUACAGGUCUGUGAGGGCCAGAAAUCUUGCUUGUUUGUAGGUGACCAAAUACUUAUUUCCCAGCAUAAUUUGCAAAUAAAUUCAUAAAAAAUCCUACAAUGUGAUUUUCUGGAUAUUUUUUUUUCAUCUUGUCUGCCAUAGUUGACGUGUACCUUUGAAUAAAAUUACAGGCCGCUCUCAUCUUUUUAAGUGGGAGAACUUGCACAAUUGGUGGCUGACUAAAUACUUUUUUGCCCCACUGUAAAUGGUUAAGCAUAUCGGAUUCGGACGAUAUUAGCUAAAUAUGCCAACAUCGGCUCUAUGUAUAGUUUAACGCCGAUGUGCAAAACCGAUGUCAAAGCUGACGUGCAUACCUACAUAACGUAGGUAGAUGACAUAAUAACAGCACGAAAAAUACAAUGCAACACACGCAACGCAGCAUUCCUAACCUAGCCCACAAUGUCUGCUGUGUGGAUCUGUUUUGAAGUUUCAAAGGAAAAUAACAAAAAAAGGCCAUAUGCAACGUUUGUGCUGCUAUUAUUUCCCAAGGAACAAUCAGUACAAAUCAGUGGACUCAUUGAAAACAUGCUCGACACUCCUAGCUCCAUUCGAACAACUGACUCGAGAAAUAAGCUCAUCAACUGUGUCUGCAGCAGACGUGAUACCCUCUGUCAUGGCAUUGAAAUGCCUGCUCAACAAAACUGCUGACACAGACCACGGGGUUAAAACUUGCAAAAGUACUCUACUAGAGGCUGUGAACAAGUGAUUCAGUGGCAUUCUCUCUGAGCCUCUUUACUGUGUCGCCACCAUGCUCGAUGCUAGGUACAAGGACCACUACUUCGAUGCAGAAAAGAAACAGGGUUUACGUGAAAUGUUACAGACACAGCUGGACAAGAUGGAAACGGACACAGUGACACUGCACACCGAGGGAGAGGACUCACGACAGAAGAGGCCACAGACAGACAGAGCUGAAACGUCACUGCUUGACAUGUAAGAUGAAAUCCUGGUUGAGAAUGAAAUGACUGAACAACGAAACAGCACAGCAAGUAAGUGAAAGAAAUAGGUUUUGAUUAUGUUUUACUGGUAAUGGGGACAUAAGUAAAUGCCAACAAAAUUACUUUUUGGUCAGUGUGUUUGUGUGUUUUAACUAUUUAACUGUACUAGAAUGCUUAAAAGGCAGCUAAAAAUGUAAUAUAUUUUUUGGCAAGGAAAAUAUCAGAUAUCGGUAUUGGCCAAAAAUGUAAUAAUCGGUGCAUCCCUAAUUUCAACCAAUUAUUUGGUGACAUAUGAAUAUGUUAAGUAUAGUUUUAUCUAAAAAGGAUAAAUUGUAAACCCUAGAAAGGCUGGAGCAACGAACCGCCCUUGCUGUCUCUGCCUUGCCGGUUCCCCUCUUUCCACUGGGAUUCUCUGUCUCUAACCCUUUUACAGGGGCUGAGUCACUGGCUUACUGGUGUUCUUCCAUGCAGUCCAUGGGAGGGGUGCGUCACUUGAGUGGGUUGAGUCACUGACGUGGUCUUCCUGUCUGGGUUGGCGCCCCCCCCCUUGGGUUGUGCCAUGGCGGAGAUCGUUGUGGGCUAUACUCGGCCUUGUCUUAGGACGGACCUGAGCCCUAGGACCAUGCCUCAGGACUACCUGGUAUGAUGACUCCUUGCUGUCCCCAGUCCACCUGGCCGUGCUGCUGCUCCAGUUUCAACUGUUCUGCCUGCGGCUAUGGAACCCUGACCUGUUCACCGGACAUGCUUGUUGCACCCUCGACAACUACUAUGAUUAUUAUUAUUUGACCAUGCUGGUCAUUUAUGAACAUUUUAACAUUUUAACAUCUUGACCAUGUUCUGUUAUAAUAUCCACCCUGCACAGCCAGAAGAGGACUGGCCACCCCUCAUAGCCUGGUUCCUCUCUAGGUUUCUUCCUAGGUUUUUGGCCUUUCUAGGGAGUUUUUCCUAGCCCCCGUGCUUCUUUCACAUGCUUUGCUUGCUGUUUGGGGUUUUAGGCUGGGUUUCUGUACAGCACUUUGCGAUAUCAGCUGAUGUACGAAGGGCUAUAUAAAAAUUGAUUUGAUUUGAUUUGAUUCUGAACACCUCCAAAACAAAGGUCAUGUGGUUUGGUAAGAAGAAUGCCCCUCCUUUCAUAGGUGUUAUUACUACCUUUGAGGGUUUAGAGCUUGAGGUAGUCACCUCAUACAAGUACUUGGGAGUAUGGCUUGACGGUGCACUGUCCUUCUCUCAGCACAUAUCAAAGCUUCAGGCUAAAGUUAAAUCUAGACUUGGUUUCCUCUAUCGUAAUCGCUCCUCUUUCACCCCAGCUGCCAAACUAACCCUGAUUCAGAUGACCAUCUUACCCAUGCUAGAUUAUGAAGACAAUUUAUAGAUUGGCAGGUAAAGGUGCUCUCGAGCGGCUAGAUGUUCUUUUUCAUAAACCCUUAAAACAACUGUGUUCUUUUGCAUUGGUUGUAUUGCCAAAAUAAAGGCUCAAACAAACUCAGCAAAAAAAGAAACGUCCUCUCACUGUCAACUGCGUUUAUU
rnacentral:lncRNA from 1 species